rnacentral:rRNA from 1 species
GAUGAACGCUGGCGGCGUGCCUAAUACAUGCAAGUCGAGCGAACGGACGAGAAGCUUGCUUCUCUGAUGUUAGCGGCGGACGGGUGAGUAACACGUGGAUAACCUACCUAUAAGACUGGGAUAACUUCGGAAAACCGGAGCUAAUACCGGAUAAUAUUUUGAACCGCAUGGUUCAAAAGUGAAAGACGGUCUUGCUGUCACUUAUAGAUGGAUCCGCGCUGCAUUAGCUAGUUGGUAAGGUAACGGCUUACCAAGGCAACGAUGCAUAGCCGACCUGAGAGGGUGAUCGGCCACACUGGAACUGAGACACGGUCCAGACUCCUACGGGAGGCAGCAGUAGGGAAUCUGCCGCAAUGGGCGAAAGCCUGACGGAGCAACGCCGCGUGAGUGAUGAAGGGCUUCGGAUCGUAAAACUCUGUUAUUAGGGAAGAACAUAUGUGUAAGUAACUGUGCACAUCUUGACGGUACCUAAGCAGAAAGCCACGGCUAACUACGU